UGUGAUUUCCAAUCAGCCAACUUUUGCGUAAGGUCGUUUUUGGUUUGUUUUGUAAUACCUUGCUGAAAGCAGCAAGCAAAGCUAACACACAUUAAUGCUCUUUCCAACCCCUUCUCCUAAAGAUGCAGGCUCCGUAGGCAUGUGGUCUGUCCAAGUUAUGACAGGUGGCAAUUUUACCAAAUAUUUUGCCUUUCUGUAGUACUCGUUUCCACUUUUUCCAGCCUGUGUUAUUUAUUUCCUCGCUGCCUAAACUUUGUCAUCUAAGCCAAGGUCACUUGUUUUUGUUUUAGUGUCACUCUGUGUUAAGGUGCCACUCUCUGUGUUAAUCAGGAUGGCACUACCUGCUGUAACCCAUGACCCCUGCCCUGCCAGCUCUGCCUGCCUAACCUGGUGGUCCGUGAGUGCCCCCCUCAGUGGGCAGUUUUCCUUGACCUGGUAACUCAGGGCCCUGGACUCCUGGCAUCAUGCCUCUGCAGCCUUGCUGUCCUCACCUCCAACCAGUGGAUGGGAAUGAGACCAUGAGACCUAGAAGUGACACACGUCACCUCAGCUCCCGUUGCGCUUCUGAGAAGUAGUCACACAACCCCUGGCCGAGCUCCCUGCUCCGGGAGAGAAGCCCAGACUGUGUGUGGAGAGCAGGCUCCCUCCCCCACUGUUCACAGUGAGUCUGCAGCACCCUUUGGUUCCACGUAAGGCCGUCAGCUGCCCGAAGGCUGACUCGAGUGUCUGCUUUCACUCCCAACCUUUUGUCUGUGUAGUGAAGUCAAAUCCCUGAUGUAAAAAUCGACGUUUAAGUCUCAGACUUUCUUGUGUUAGACUUCAUCAUGACAGUGGCAUCUCCAUUAAGAUGGUAAUAGCUUAAGGAACAAUUUAUGGACUAAAACUUUGUAAUGGAAAGUAGAAAUCAUGCAAUUGAUGUUUAGAUGCGCUCUUUAGGAUUCCCUCUCUACUUUGUUGUAUUGUUCUGCUGUGCCUCUCCAGAACAAUUUGUUCCCUGUUAUCUCAAGGUUAAGAGAAUCGUGCUCACAUCCCUCCCACAUUGCUCAGGGAGGCAGCAAAUAGCGAGCAGGCGUGAUGUGGGUGGAACCAGGUUCAACAAAACAUAUGUCGGGAUCCUGAUCCUAGUACCUCAGAAUCUGACCUUAUUUGGAAAUAGGGAUAUUCAUACGUGGUUAGUUAAGAUGAGGUAAUGAGGGCAGGCCCUAAUCGAUAUGAUUGGAGUCCUUCUAAGAAGAGGGGACGUGCUGUGAAGACACACACAGGAGAAUGGCCACGUGAUGACGGACGCAGAGACUGGGGAUGCAGCUGCAGGCUCUGAAAGUCAGGAGGACUCCCUUACACUGGAAAAUCCUGGAAAGUGGUUUCCUCUCUCCCAUCCCUCAAAUGCCACCGCAAUCCUGGAGGGAAACACAGAGAGAACAGAGCUGGGGCGCUCAACACUUUCUCAAAGGAUCUCUAGGAAAGGCCUUAUGGGCAAGAGGCAGAAGAAGGGCUGAGGAGGAAUGGUGAGGGGUGUCCACUGACCGCCUACUGCCCAGUGAGAAUGAGCCGUGAACAAGGGGCUAAUCCUCCAGCGAAGUGCACAGAGUCCUUGCAGCUGUGGGACCACAGGACUCAUCAGGAAGGUCCCUGGGCCACUUGAGUAGAGCUGUGAGUGCCUAUUAAGAAGGACAGCUACCCAAGAGGCCAGAGGAGUUCCUGGGAGGAGAAGGGAUGGAAGCUGCCACUGGCACAGGUCACCAUAGCCAACAAGCCCAGGGGAGGGCAGGGUGUGAGGCUCGGCCCAGGCUGGCAGUGGACUGCCUGGAGUGAGGACUGGAAGCUCAUUGCCCCACAAAAGGGACACUGCCACUCAACUCAUCCCUGCUAUGGAAUUAUUUUAGCCACCUAAAGUAACGCUACUCUUUGCGGGCCACUAAGGCACUGUAGAACAUUUUGUUCCUAGCAAAUGGUAUGAACUUAGUAAAUGUUUGAUGGAUUUAUUCAUUCAUUUGUUCAUGUUUAUGCCACUCCUAUUAUAGGCCCGACACUGUUUUAGGUUGUAAGGAUGGAGCAAUGAACCAGAUGGGUGAGUCCCGGCAGUCGUUGCAUUUAUAUUCUAGGAGGGGAGCAGACAAUACACAGGUAAGGAAACAAGCAGGAUAAUUUCAGAUAUUGAUAAGUGCUGUGAAGACUUAUCUAGAGGCAUUUUCUCAACAGAGGGUCCUGGGAGUGGUCUUUGAGGCCUGAAAUGAAAAUUAGCCGUCCAUCCUGAGAUCCAUGUGAAGGGAAACUUAAGUGUAUCAAUAACGUGUGAUGUUUGCCGAUUUGGUCUGUCUCUUAAGCAAGCCCCAUUCUAAUAGACGGUCGUCAGAAAGCUUCGUUCAAACAGUUACUGCACAUGCUCUGCGUUCCAAGCAGCGUGCUAGGGGUUAGGGAUGUCAAAGUAAAAGCUGUGGCCCCUGCCUUCAAGGAACUGACAUUCCGGUGUGGAGAACUAGAUGUAUAAACAAUUACAAUAAUAAAAUUAAAAAAUAACAAAAAGUGAGAAGAUGCCAAGCGAGGCGACACGGCCAGCACACUGCGGGAGGCUUGUCGAGGAAGUGCCUUUAUCGGAAUCGAAACAGCAAGAGCAGCUGUGUCGGGAGAAGGUUCUCCAUGCGUCUCUCACGCUUCGGCAUGUCUUGUCAACAGGGAGACUGUCUUUUGUUGAACCACCUGGAACUAUCUUUCAAGGAUGUUUGUAUAGCUAGCCAACACCUUGGAGCUAGAGAUAGUUUCUCCCUCCAGGGUAGAGAGGUUCAUUUCUUUACUAGGACACUAAAAAUGUUUCCCUCUAAGGCAAAGCUUGGGCAGGUUUCCUUGCAGCCUCUUGAGAAGACUGGAGUUUUCUAAGCUGGAGCUUCCUCAGUUGUGGUGCAGACCCACUAUGUGCAGCAUCCACCUGGACCAUUCCAUGGCAACCCGUAGGAUUUCGGGGGAAAGAGGAACUGAAGGAAUAUGAAGCUGUACUGAUGCUGUGCUGUUUGCCUCUGACUCAGGAAUCAUAUCUCUUCUGCAAGAACCUGUGCAACUGCGGCAGGCUGCCUUGCCAGCCUGGAAAUAGGUGAAAUGAAUAGUUCUGGACAUGGUGGCAAUAUGCCGGUGACUUAUGCUUUUAAACACCUCUACUUCAUACCAGAAUAUUUAUGCUUUCUGACCUUUAAUUUUCUCACUUGUGAACUUGGGAUAAAAAUCCUCACCUCAAAAAACCAUUGUAAGGAUCAAAUGGAAUGUCAUAUGAGUGGCAGAGAUGGCUAACUGUUCACAAUACCCGUUCUUUCUUCUCCCACAGCACAGAAGCUCUGCAGCGUAGCAACAGCCACCUGAGUAAGGAAAAUGACAUGUUGCAGCCUCCCUGGCAGCUUGGUGUGAUCAGGCAAUAAACUUCUGGUCAACAGGAUGUGAGCAGAGUUGUAGGUGCAACUUUCAUAUGAUGUUCUGGAAGAAAGGAGAAUGUCCUUCUUAGCCCCUUCCCUUUCCCAUGGCCUGGAAUAUAGACACAGAGAAGCGACAUCUUGGACUAUGUGGUUGGGGAGACCCUCUCCAUAUGGUAGAGGAAUAAGACAGAAGGAGCCUGGGUCUUUGUCUUUUUGCAGAAACUGUUCAGAUCCUGGACUUCUAAUGUACAGACUGUGAUGUGAGAGGAAAAUAAAUUUCUG